GUUAUAGGGAGGGUUAUAUGGAGUAAUACGAGGAGUUAUAGGGAGGGUUAAAUGGUGUAAUAGGAGGAGUUAUAGGGAGGGUUAUAUGGAGUGAUAGGGGGAGUUAUAGGGAGGGAUAUAUGGAGUAAUAGGAGGGGUUAUAGGGAGGGUUAAAUGGAGUAAUAGGAGGGGUUAUAGGGAGAGUUAUAUGGAGUGAUAGGGGGAGUUAUAGGGAGGGUUAUAUGGAGUAAUAGGGGGAGUUAUAGGGAGGGUUAUAUGGGGUAAUAGGAGGA